AGUGGGGGACAACAGUUGGAAACGACUGCUAAUACCGCAUAAAGCAUUUUGACCGCAUGAUCGAGAUGCCAAAGAUUUAUUGCUGAAAGAUGGGCUCGCGUCUGAUUAGAUAGUUGGUGGGGUAACGGCCCACCAAGUCGACGAUCAGUAGCCGGACUGAGAGGUUGAACGGCCACAUUGGGACUGAGAUACGGCCCAGACUCCUACGGGAGGCAGCAGUGGGGAAUAUUGGGCAAUGGGGGAAACCCUGACCCAGCAACGCCGCGUGAAGGAAGAAGGCUUUCGGGUUGUAAACUUCUUUUACCAGGGACGAAGAAAGUGACGGUACCUGGAGAAAAAGCCACGGCUAACUACGUGCCAGCAGCCGCGGUAAUACGUAGGUGGCAAGCGUUGUCCGGAUUUACUGGGUGUAAAGGGCGUGUAGGCGGAGAUGCAAGUCAGAUGUGAAUCCCCGGGCUUAACCCGGGAACUGCAUUUGAAACUGUAUCCCUUGAGUAUCGGAGAGGCAGGCGGAAUUCCUAGUGUAGCGGUGAAAUGCGUAGAUAUUAGGAGGAA
rnacentral:rRNA from 1 species